UUUUGUAUGUACCUUAUGAAUAAGGAUCGGCUAACUCCGUGCCAGCAGCCGCGGUAAUACGGAGGAUCCGAGCGUUAUCCGGAUUUAUUGGGUUUAAAGGGUGCGUAGGCGGCCUUUUAAGUCAGCGGUGAAAGUCUGUGGCUCAACCAUAGAAUUGCCGUUGAAACUGGGGGGCUUGAGUAUGUUUGAGGCAGGCGGAAUGCGUGGUGUAGCGGUGAAAUGCAUAGAUAUCACGCAGAACCCCGAUUGCGAAGGCAGCCUGCCAAGCCAUGACUGACGCUGAUGCACGAAAGCGUGGGGAUCAAACAGGAUUAGAUACCCUGGUAGUCCACGCAGUAAACGAUGAUCACUAGCUGUUUGCGAUACACUGUAAGCGGCACAGCGAAAGCGUUAAGUGAUCCACCUGGGGAGUACGCCGGCAACGGUGAAACUCAAAGGAAUUGACGGGGGCCCGCACAAGCGGAGGAACAUGUGGUUUAAUUCGAUGAUACGCGAGGAACCUUACCCGGGUUUGAACGCAUUCGGACCGAGGUGGAAACACCUUUUCUAGCAAUAGCCGUUUGCGAGGUGCUGCAUGGUUGUCGUCAGCUCGUGCCGUGAGGUGUCGGCUUAAGUGCCAUAACGAGCGCAACCCUUGCCACUAGUUACUAACAGGUAAAGCUGAGGACUCUGGUGGGACUGCCAGCGUAAGCUGCGAGGAAGGCGGGGAUGACGUCAAAUCAGCACGGCCCUUACAUCCGGGGCGACACACGUGUUACAAUGGCGUGGACAAAGGGAAGCCACCUGGCGACAGGGAGCGAAUCCCCAAACCACGUCUCAGUUCGGAUCGGAGUCUGCAACCCGACUCCGUGAAGCUGGAUUCGCUAGUAAUCGCGCAUCAGCCAUGGCGCGGUGAAUACGUUCCCGGGCCUUGUACACACCGCCCGUCAAGCCAUGGGAGCCGGGGGUACCUGAAGUCCGUAACCGCGAGGAUCGGCCUAGGGUAAAACUGGUGACUGGGGCUAAGUCGUAACAAGGUAGCCGUACCGGAAGGUGCGGCUGGAACACCUCCUUU
rnacentral:rRNA from 1 species